UACGUAGGGGGCUAGCGUUGUCCGGAAUCAUUGGGCGUAAAGAGCGUGUAGGCGGCUUGGUAAGUCCGUUGUGAAAGUCCAGGGCUCAACCCUGGAAAGCCAGUGGAUACUGUCAAGCUAGAGUCCGGAAGAGGCGAGUGGAAUUCCUGGUGUAGCGGUGAAAUGCGCAGAUAUCAGGAGGAACACCAAUGGCGAAGGCAGCUCGCUGGGACGGUACUGACGCUGAGACGCGAAAGCGUGGGGAGCAAACAGG
rnacentral:rRNA from 1 species